GAGGAACUCCAACAGAUCCGGCGACGAGAAUAAAACUAGGACGAGAUGGCAGCUUCGCUUUUGUUUGCCGCGAGAAAGAUCUGCGGUCGCGCCCUUGGGCGACCACCGCAGUUGUAUUUUAGGGCGGCCGUUAAGGAGGAACAGAGUCUGCUGUUGCCAAGGAUUGGCCAUGGCAGGAGCUUCCCUCAACGCUUCAGCUCCUCUGAAUCAAGUCUUUCAAAAAAGGUACUCCCGCAGAAUCAGACCUAAUUCUGCCCUUGUCGAAUUUGCAGAAUAGGUAUAAUUUAUCGCGUUGAGAUCAACAAUACGAAUUCUACUUCCGCAGAUUUAGCAGCCUUUUCUUUCUUGUUAGAAUUCUUACCAUAUUGUGGCAAAAGAAACUGCUAGCGGAACAGCAUAAUCAGUUUUGGGCCAUGCUCUUGCUCAUUUUUUAAUCUUACAUUAUUUUUUCUGGCUCCACCAGAUCAAACGAUCUUAUAAAGGAGAUUCGUGCCCAAUCAAGGGAUUUCUUGAGUUGCGAAUUUAUUUUUGAAAGUCAUAUAGUUUGAAUUUUAAUGCUCACAAUUUAGCUAACUUUUCUUCUUCUUUAGCUGGGAGUCGCCACUUGUUGAUGGGUUUACCCCACGACCUGUUUGUUAUCCCUGUAAACCGUGCUUCUACCAAUCAAUAAGUGUGGUUUAUCCCUAAAGAAAAAACAUAUAUGAAACGAUCAAUCAUAUAUGCAAAGUUAGCGCUUACUAACUAUCUUUAUAUGUUCUACUCCAAAUUCUGUCUCACCGUUUGUAAGGCUAACUAUGUAAUUUUCUUUUGCGGGGCCACAGCAGCACGGACCUCAAUUAGCUGCAAACACUACAAAGUCGUCGAAGCACACACCAUGGUAAUUAUUAUGUCACAUGGACUACUCAGAUUUUAGAUGAUUGUAAACAACUUAUUUAAAUCCGCUUCUAAUUGAUUUAUGUUUUGAUUUUUGGUUCGUAUUAAGUCACCCCAAUUAUGUACGUAAUAUAUUUUUUGGGACAAUCGGGACGGCUAUAGGAGUCCUUGCAAUACUCUAUGGUGUGGCCCGUACACACGGGGGGCCGAUUUUUAGAGAACAACUAUUGGGCUUGCCGCCUAAACCAAGCAAGGAAGAUGAUUAGCCUUCGGAUGACGGCUAUUGGAGCUCACAACCAAGAAUGCCUGAAUAUGACCUGGUGUUGUUAUGGUGCUCGUUGGCCUGAACAUGAGCAUUAGUCUGUUGUGACUCUGGCUGAACAAAUUUACCGUGUUUGAAUAUUUACCGAGGACCGUUAUUUUGUUAUGGUGCUCAUUGGCCUAUUUACUUGUUCAUCAGUCUGUUUUGACGAAUUUACUAUGACGUGUUGUUAUGAUGAUGCUUAGUACUUUGAGCUCCUGUCGAUAUCCUUUCAGAUUAUUCAAUUUGUCAGAAUUUUGGUAUUGAGCAUCAGUCUAGUAUGAC
rnacentral:lncRNA from 1 species